ACGCUCGACACCUACGGGAGGUAGCAGUGGGGAAUAUUGCACAAUGGAGGAAACUCUGAUGCAGCGACGCCGCGUGAGGGAAGAAGGUCUUCGGAUUGUAAACCUCUGUUGUCAGGGACGAUGAUGACGGUACCUGACGAGGAAGCCACGGCUAACUACGUGCCAGCAGCCCGGUAAUCUGAGCGGGCUGGCAAGGC
rnacentral:rRNA from 1 species